rnacentral:rRNA from 1 species
UACGGGGGGGGUAAGCGUUGUUCGGAAUUACUGGGCGUAAAGGGCUCGUAGGCGGCCAACUAAGUCAUACGUGAAAUCCCUCAGCUUAACUGGGGGACUGCGUGUGAUACUGGAUGGCUUGGAUUUGGGAGAGGGAUGCGGAAUUCCAGGUGUAGCGGUGAAAUGCGUAGAUAUCUGGAGGAACACCGGUGGCGAAGGCGGCAUCCUGGACCAAUAUUGACGCUGAGGAGCGAAAGCCAGGGGAGCAAACGGG